UUGCAUAAUUUUUUAUAGUUGAGUUACAUAUUGUGACAUGAGUUUCAAAUUGCUUUUGUUCCUUCUGGUCUUUAUAAUUUUUCUAUGUAUGCCCUUCCUUGGUUUAAAAAAGCGCGCAUCAGGCGUGCCUGAUGCGUGAUGCGACCGUUGCGAUGGUCAAAGCGCAUCGGGCAGCCUGAUGCGGUAGGGGGUACAUAAUGCGGUCUGAUGCGAUCCGAUGCGGCUGAUGCGGUCUGAUGCGGGCCGAUGCGUUUAAUAAGAUUUUUUUAGGCUUUUAGUUGGACUAGUUUAUGUUUCUAACUUAAUUGCUGGAAUGGGCUUAAAAAGCCCAUAUUCAAUUGACCUAAAUCUCUAAUAAAAUGUCACCUGGUUGCUGCUUUCCUCCAUCGAGCUUUCCCCCUGCUAUUGAAGAUAUGUCUGUUGAGUGCUGCCAUUGAAGAAACUUGAAGUAUGGAACCAACUCCUAGUGCUACCUCAACGGUUUCAAAUACAACACAACCAACAAAUCAACUGAUCCAGCUAGGAAAUAUUCUACGCAAGAGCCUACCAACAGAAACAAUUUUCGUUGCCAUUUUUGUCCUAAAGUAGUGAAGGGUGGUGUGUAUCGAAUGAAAUGGCAUUUCAUUGGUGGUUUGCCGGAUGUUACUAGUUGCCCAAACUGUCCAGAGCAUGUAAAGGAAGAGGUGAGGUCUUUCAUGCAAAAAAAAGAAAUGGAAACCAUAGAAAAAAAGAUGAACUCAACUUACUCAAGAAGAUUCGACUAUAGUGACUAUGAUCUUGAUGAAGAUGAUUAUGUUGAAGUGCAAGGGGUAGUAGCAAAAUGUCUCAAAGAAAAAAGCCAAGACAAAAAGGUCCUAUAGAUAAGUUCUUCGCUCCUAAUCCCGAAGAUGUUGUCAAAGGAAGAAAAGUUGAAAAAUGAGGGAAGCAACAAACUAUCAAUGUCACGGUUCAAAAAGAGUUGAGGGAAAAAGUUUGUAAAUAUAUAGCACGGUGGUUCUAUGAUGUGGGCAUUCCUUUUCAUGCCGCAAAUUAUGAUAGCUUUAAGGUUAUGAUUGAAGCUAUAGGACAAUUUGGUCCGGGAAUGAAACCACCAAGUAUGUAUGAGCUUAGAGUUCCAUUACUCAAGCAAGAAGUAAAAGAGGUGGAAGAGCAAGUCAACGAACACAAGAAAGAAUGGGCCGAUAAAGGUUGCUCAAUUCUAUCGGAUGGAUGGAGUGAUUCGGUUGUCCAAAAAGACAUCGUUAACUUCAUGGUGAACUCUCCAAAGGGUUCCAUAUUUGUUAAAUCGAUGGAUGUUUCGGAUGUCUCCAAGGAUGCCAACUUGUUGUUUGGGAUUCUUGACAAAAUGGUAGAUGAAGUUGGCGAAGAGAAUGUGGUGCAAGUGAUCACCGAUAAUGCAUCCGCCUAUGUCAAAGCAGGAAAGAUGUUAGAAGCUACUAGAAAACAUCUUUAUUGGACUCCAUGUGGGCACAUUGCAUAGAUCUCAUGUUAGAAGAUAUUGGAAGCAAAUUCCGCAGGUGAAAAAUUGUUUGAAAAAAGCAAUGUCGGCAAACGGGUAUAUAUACAGUUAUGUUGGUCUAGUAAACUUGAUGAGGAAGUUCACAAAUCAAAGGAACUUGCAUAGGCCCGCGAUUACUCGAUUUGCAACAUCCUUUAUCACUCUCCUUCAAUUUCACAAGCAAAAAAAUAACUUGAGGAACAUGGUUGCUUCUCAAGAAUGGAUGGAGAGCAAGUGGUCUAAGGAACAUAAGGGCAAAUUGGUGCAUUCUUACUUUUUACAAAAGACCUUUUGGAGGAACAUUGCAUAUACACUCAAGUUGACGUGUCCUCUUGUUAGUAUCCUUAGAUUGGUUGAUGGGGAAAAAAGGCCGGCCAUGGGUUAUAUUUAUGAAGCCAUGGAUAGGGCCAAGGAGUAUUGCUAGAAGCUUCCCAAAUCAAGAAGAUCGUUACAAAAAAACAUUUGAGAUCAUUGACCAUAGGUGGGAACAUCAACUCCACCGACCUUUGCAUGCCGCGGGCCAUUACUUAAACCCAUCCAUUUUCUAUGAUGAUGUGAAGCGGAUUGAAAGUUGUGAAGAAAUAAUGGAUGGUUUACAAUCUUGCAUUGAAAGGUUGUCCCUGAAUGCUCAAGUGGAAGACCAAACCAUAAGAGAAUUAAACAAGUAUAAGAAAGCCGAAGGGAUGUUUGGUAAAAGUUCGGCUAUUAGGCAAAGGAAGCAAAUGGCACCGGCAGAAUGGUGGGAAACAUAUGGAGCUUCGGCUCCUAACUUGCAAAAGUUUGCCAUACGAGUUCUUAGUCUUACUUGUAGUGCCACAAGUUGUGAAAGAAAUUGGGGCGUUUUUCAACACAUAAGUGUAAUAGUGUAUAUAUAUCUCAAUUUCGUACUUUAAUUAAAAUAUAUUAUCAAUUAACAUACAAUUUAAUUUUUGAUAGCUUCACACCAAGAAGCGCAAUAGGUUGACACAAGAAAGAUUGAAUGAUAUGGUUUAUGUUAAAUUCAAUCAUUCAUUGCAACGCCGAAAGGGAACCUCUGAUCCUAUUGCUUUGGAUGAUAUUGAUGAAAGUAAUGAAUGGUUGAUGGGUAGAAUGGAAAAUGAUGAAGAUGAAGAAGAUUUGGUGUUUCUUGAUGAUGAUCUUACAUGGGAUGCGGUGGGUAGAGCUUCUGGGGCUAAUGAGCCAAGUCAUUUCACUAGAGGAUCAAGAAGAGGAGGUGAUGAUGGAGUCGGCCCAUCAAGAAAUGAUAAAGGAAAAAUACCUGCUCUUGUUGAUGAAGAUGAGAUGGAGGAAGACAUUGGAGUGACUGAUGAUGAUGAGGGAGAUGGAGACGU